rnacentral:rRNA from 1 species
GGCCGCGAAUUCGCCCUUAGAGUUUGAUCAUGGCUCAGGAUGAACGCUAGCGGCAGGCCUAACACAUGCAAGUCGAGGGGUAACAGGUAGAAAGCUUGCUUUCUAUGCUGACGACCGGCGCACGGGUGAGUAACGCGUAUGCAACCUACCUUUAACAAGAGGAUAGCCCCGAGAAAUCGGGAUUAAUACUCUAUAACAUUUUGAUAUCGCAUGGUAUUAAAAUUAAAGCUCCGGCGGUUAAAGAUGGGCAUGCGUGACAUUAGUUAGUUGGUGAGGUAACGGCUCACCAAGACUUUGAUGUCUAGGGGUUCUGAGAGGAUUGUCCCCCACACUGGUACUGAGACACGGACCAGACUCCUACGGGAGGCAGCAGUGAGGAAUAUUGGUCAAUGGUCGAAAGACUGAACCAGCCAUGCCGCGUGCAGGAUGAAUGUUCUAUGAAUUGUAAACUGCUUUUCUACAGGAAGAAACCUACCCUCGUGAGGGUAGUUGCCGGUACUGUAGGAGUAAGCACCGGCUAACUCCGUGCCAGCAGCCGCGGUAAUACGGAGGGUGCAAGCGUUAUCCGGAUUUAUUGGGUUUAAAGGGUGCGUAGGCGGAAUAUUAAGUCAGUGGUGAAA